GACGAACGCUGGCGGCGUGCUUAACACAUGCAAGUCGAACGGAAAGGCCCUGCUUUUGUGGGGUGCUCGAGUGGCGAACGGGUGAGUAACACGUGAGUAACCUGCCCUUGACUUUGGGAUAACUUCAGGAAACUGGGGCUAAUACCGGAUAGGAGCUCCUGCUGCAUGGUGGUGGUUGGAAAGUUUCGGCGGUUGGGGAUGGACUCGCGGCUUAUCAGCUUGUUGGUGGGGUAGUGGCUUACCAAGGCUUUGACGGGUAGCCGGCCUGAGAGGGUGACCGGCCACAUUGGGACUGAGAUACGGCCCAGACUCCUACGGGAGGCAGCAGUGAGGAAUAUUGCACAAUGGGCGGAAGCCUGAUGCAGCAACGCCGCGUGCGGGAUGACGGCCUUCGGGUUGUAAACCGCUUUCGCCUGUGACGAAGCGUGAGUGACGGUAAUGGGUAAAGAAGCACCGGCUAACUACGUG
rnacentral:rRNA from 1 species